rnacentral:rRNA from 1 species
AUUGAACGCUGGCGGCAGGCCUAACACAUGCAAGUCGAGCGAGCGGCGGACGGGGGAGUACUGUAUGGGGACUGCCCGAUAGAGGGGGAUAACUACUGGAAACGGUAGCUAAUACCGGAUACUAUCGGAUAACCCAUAUGGGAUUAGCUAGUAGGUGAGGUAAUGGCUCACCUAGGCGACGAUCCCUAGCUGGUCUGAGAGGAUGAUCAGCCACACGGGGAAUGAGACACUGCCCAGACUCCUACGGAGGCAGCAGUGGGGAAUAUUGCACAAUGGGCGCAAGUCUGAUGCAGCCAUGCCGCGUGUAUGAAGAAGGCCCUAGGGUUGUAAAGUACUUUCAUUCGGGAGGCGUUACCGACAGAAGAAGCACCGGCUAACUCCGUGCCAGCAGCCGCGGUAAUAC